rnacentral:rRNA from 1 species
ACAGUUUGGGUAAACAUUGCACCCCACUGUGUGAAUUAAUGUGAACUGCAUACUGCUUUGAACAUCGACAUCUUGAACGCAUACUGCGGCCAUGGGUUAACCUGUGGCCACGCCUGUCCGAGGGUCGGCUUAUAAACUAUCACGACGCCCAAAUUGUCGUGGCUUGGGUUUUGCCAGCUGGCGUGAUUUCCUCAUCAACUCGGUGAGGUGCCAGAUCUAUGGCUUUUCCCUAAUGUGUCCGGGCACCCACAUAUAUGUGGUGGCGGAGUCGUGGCUCAAUGGCAUGUAAAAUUGCGCGCUCCGUUACUCAUGGUGAAGUGUUCGUUAUCAAUGUUGCGCUUCGGCGCUUCUAUUCCUGACCUCGGAUCAGACGUGAUUACCCGCUGAAUUUAAGCAUAA